rnacentral:misc_RNA from 1 species
AAGUCGUAACAAGGUCUCCGUAGGUGAACCUGCGGAGGGAUCAUUACUGAGCGAGGGCUUCCAGCCCGACCUCCAACCCUUUUGUGAUUCGGACCGUGUUGCCUCGAGGGCGACCCGGACGCUCCGGCGCCGGGCCCCUCGGUGGACCCAUCAAAAACUCUUGCAUCCUUGCGUCGGAUAUACAAGUUUAAAUAUCUUAAAACUUUCAACAACGGAUCUCUUGGUUCUG